rnacentral:rRNA from 1 species
UACGUAGGGGGCGAGCGUUGUCCGGAGUUACUGGGCGUAAAGGGCGCGCAGGCGGUCUGGUAAGUUUGGAGUGACAGUGCUCGGCUUAACUGAGCAAGGCCUUCGAAAACUGCUAGACUUGAGCACUCAAGAGGGACAUAGAAUUCCGGGUGGAGUGGUGAAAUGCGUGAGAUAUCCGGAGGAAUACCAAAGGCGAAGGCAGUGUCCUGGGGAGUGUCUGACGCUCAGGGCGCGAAAAGCCAGG